AGUGAACGCUGGCGGUAGGCCUAACACAUGCAAGUCGAACGGCAGCACAGUAAGAGCUUGCUCUUACGGGUGGCGAGUGGCGGACGGGUGAGGAAUACAUCGGAAUCUACUUUUUCGUGGGGGAUAACGUAGGGAAACUUACGCUAAUACCGCAUACGACCUACGGGUGAAAGCAGGGGAUCUUCGGACCUUGCGCGAUUGAAUGAGCCGAUGUCGGAUUAGCUAGUUGGCGGGGUAAAGGCCCACCAAGGCGGCGAUCCGUAGCUGGUCUGAGAGGAUGAUCAGCCACACGGGAACUGAAACACGGUCCAGACUCCUACGGGAGGCAGCAGUGGGGAAUAUUGGACGAUGGGCGCAAGCAUGAUCCAGCCAUACCGCGUGGGUGAAGAAGGCCUUCGGGUUGUAAAGCCCUUUUGUUGGGAAAGAAAAGCAGCAGGUUAAUACCCCGCUGUUCUGACGGUACCCAAAGAAUAAGCACCGGCUAACUUCGUG
rnacentral:rRNA from 1 species